rnacentral:tRNA from 1 species
GAGGGUGUAGCUCAGUGGUGGAGUGCCCGCCUAACGUGCACGAGGUCCUGGGUUCCAUCCCCUGUACCUCCA